ACGCCUGGGUCACCCACCCCUCACGGAUGGAUCCCACUCUCCACGUCCUUUCCUAAUCAACAUCAAGCAGUUUAGAGUCAGCCUCAAUGGUGAGUAGCACGAUGUGGGCGGCCGACGUGUAGACGUUGGAGAGAGGUGCUCAGUGGCUUGCUUAGGGGCAAGUCUUUGAUAGCAAGUUUCCACUCCGUCACCUAGGUGAGUCCCCGUCUUCCUCCUCCGCCGUUGUCUGCACCGGCAGGACCCCCCUCGUAAUCGUAAUGGCCUUCCUCACCUGCCUCGCCUGGUUGUACGUCGCCGGCCGGUAUGCUCGCGCCCUCCCUCUCCUCCCCAGAUCUCUCCUCCACUCAGCAGCUCCGAUCUCGCCUCGAUUCGUUCGCAGGCUAUGGCAGGACACGCAGACCCGGGCGACCUUCUCCGGUUAGGCUCUCCGGCGUCCUCGAGAAGAGCAGCAGUAAUCUCCCCAAGGAGAUCUUGGUGGACGACAAGCUGAGGGACCUGGGAUGCAUGUAAUUUAUUGGUUCCUUUCUGGUGUGACUUGUUCUUCUGGUUUGUUGAUUCGAAAUGGCUUGUUUGGUGUUGGAGGAUGGAGGGAUUGGGAGGAAGAUCGCCGAGGUAGAGAUGGACAUUGCCAAGGCGGAGAGCGAGGGGUACUUGUGGGGGAAUGAGGCUGGUGCUGGUACCGAGGGUUCCAACAGAAAGAAGUUCCUUGCCGUCAUUUGAGUUUACACUAGCUUUGUCUCACAUAAGAAACACCACCCGAGCACCUCUCCGUGUGCCGUCAUGUUUACAUCUUGAAUAUUUUUCUUGAUUCAGUAUAAAAAACUGGUUUAACUCAUUCUUUUGUGUUGACAUACACUGACAUUAAGGAUUGAACUCGCGAUGGUAAUGAUGAGUCUGCAAGGUCAAGGUCAUAUGGUCUAACUAUCAAAUCACAGAAAGGAGAGGAGAAGCUGAGCUCCGCCCUUUUUCUGUCCAGGAGAGAAGCAUUUGAAUCGUCCUCAAAGGAGAAACAGGGCAUUAGCUAGUACCAUAAAUGACAAGAUAGCUUGGCCAUGACUCUAUCAACUUGCCUAGGUCCAAGUCCAACCCUCACAAGCUUCUUCAUCUGUACAAACAUCAAUCUUGGGAGCAUUAGUUGAAGAUCCGGUGUUCUACGGUCUAGAAAAAAGAUGAAGAAGUCAUUGCCACUACUCCUAUGAGAAUAUUCAGUCAAAGAAGAAAACUUCUUGUUUUGGCUGCUGGUUAA